CGGAAACAGAGGGAAAGGCAAGAUCUGAGAGACCACCCACUUCACCUAUGGAGAAUAUCUUCAUUUUUGCACAAGACUAAAGUUACAGAAUUAAGCUAAAUUGAGUUUUCCCAGCACUGCUCAGCCCGUAGGGCCACAUGAGGAAAAUAGGAUAGUUGUAGACAAAAUGAAGUCACUAGAGGUGUCUGCACAUCUGGCAGCAGCAUGAGGAGAUUUCCAUCCUUGCCAUAGACGUAAGGAUAAUCUACUUCCUCUGUUAAGGUGAUUACAGAAAACCUCACAGAGGGAGUGACAUUUGAGCAACAAGCUGGAGAAGAUGAGGAAGCAAGCCAUGGAGAUAUCCAGGAGAAGUGCUCCCAGUAAAUGGAACAGCAGGUACAGAGGCUCUGAGAGAAGAAGGUACCUGGGAUGUGCAAGGGGCAGCAUGGGCAAACGGGAGAGCAGCAGAUGAGGUCAGUGAGGUAUAGGUACAAGUGACAGAAGGACACAGAGCCCGCUGCUCCAAUACCAGCAGCUUCUUCACCUGCACUUUCACUUUCCCAGACUGCUGAACACAGCGGAAGUCACCAAACCCGCCAUGACUUGCACCAAAGGAAGGCGCCUGCAUAGGAUUUUCAGUUUUUUCUUAAGAUCCUCAUAUAUUGCGAAAGCUUUCUCUUUAUGAGAAACCUUACCCCAGAUCAUUGCAAAAUACUAAAGUGCCGGAGAAAACUGAACCUGGCCAACUAGCACUUAAUAUUGACAAAAUUUCCCAAUUUACCCAUCCUGUUUGAGCUAAUCUGCAUUAAAGAAAUAUGGACCAUAGCUGGUCGACUCCAAUUUGUCACUAGAGAACAUGGUGGACCACAUGUUAAAUGGCCAGAAAGCAAGAGAGUAAUUGGGAAGAGAAGAACGGUGAACAUUUGUUGAUUAUCAUUCCAGCAUCUAUUACUCACCCCUCCCUUCCCCUCCCCAGAGCUCUCACUUUCUAUCUCCAAGUGGUUGCAGGUAAAUAGAUUCCGUCCCUGACUCUUGUGGGAAUGUGUGACCCAGGAGAAGCCAAGCAAAGCAUUCCAUGCCCCGAGCAGCAGAGAUUUGUUCGAGGAGGCAUGUGGAUCAGAUCCAGUCAGAGUGAAUCUCAGGACUGGUGGAAAUGCUGGGUUGAAGAUGUUUUCUCCCUUUGGAUGGUAUGGCAUGUCAAGCUGAGGUAUGUGGCUACAGCAGCCACUUUUCAUCAAGGCGUGAGGAGACGAGGAAGGAGAGGCAGCCUGAGGACCAAGAAAUGGAGCCGGAACUAUGAUAACAAGCGUAAUGGAGCCACCCUGGCCUCCGGAGAGGUUUGAUUCACCCACUUUCUCUCCCUCCAACGAUCCCGGUGUGACAGCUCUGGAGGAAAAGAAAGGCUGAAAUGCUCGUCUGGAGCCAGACUCCUGGCAGAUUGGAGGGGCUGAAUGGCAUCCAACCUCUCUCUGCUGCCAAACGUGGGAGCAACUGAGACUCUACUCAUCACACCCAGGGUCCCACCACGGGGGCACAAGGCAGAUGAAAAAGAGGACCUGCAAACCAGAACAGAGGACCAGCCUUAACAAUGUAUGGAAAGUGGGGAGGGAGAUGGCUCUGAGAUGAAAAGGGCCUGGACAGAUAUGCACAGUGGGGAAUCAGCCCACAGGA
rnacentral:lncRNA from 1 species